UAAAUCUUAAAAAAAAAACAAAAACCCAGAAUGUUGAUCAAGACACUUGGGAUAGGGACGCCUGGACAUUCUGUUGCUGGGUUACUUGUGAGAGAUGUACUGUGACUGGACAGGCAGACAGCUUUCAAGAGGGUACAGUAGAACUGGUAAAAGUGUAGUUAGCUAUGUUUCCAGAAACUUUUGGCCAGUUGGCUCUAUUUACAUUUUGCCUGAUUGAAGAAAACCAUCUUAAGGCUUACCUCUAGAUUGGGACUUUUUUUAGCAGUGUCAUGAAAAUUUAUGUAAAGAUUAUUAGAAGUGAAGAAGAUUAAGAGAAUAGGAGAUCUGUUAAAUAGCCUAAAUGAGCUUUUUGCGACUCUCCUUUUAUUUGGAGACAUGAAUUCCAUCAUGCUGGCCUGGGGAGAUCUAUUAGAAAGUAAAUUUAUAUCAGCAGCCAACUACUGCAUUUGAAGAACCAAUGUCUGAAUGCCCAAAUGUAAAGAAUGGUGUGGAUCCUCAGGCAUUUCUUGCCUUGCCUCUAUGGGAAAAUGGAGUAGUCGUGGGAAGGUGAACUAAACAAUGAGGACAAGUAUAGCGAUAGCAAACAAUGACAACACAAAUCUCAACCUGCCUUGGCUUUUUCUGCAGUCGGAGAAUUCUGAACUUGAGCCAGAGAACUCUAUUUCAUUCUGCAGCAGGCUCCCAUCCCUUUGGAAAAGGUGAGGGUACAUAUGAUGAAUAAAUAAUAUCAUCAUAUUUUGCUUCAGUAGAAAAAAACCUGCGCAUGCAAGCAACAAUCUCUUCCUUGUUUCAAUAUUAAAUUGCUUAGUUGGACUAAAGCAAACCCUUAAAAACAAGAAAACCGCUUGGCAUCCAUAUCGGUUAGUAUAAACACAAAGGAAAUCAAUCAACAUGAACGAAUGAUAUUGAGUCAACUUUGACUUUCUUUCCCACUGUACUUCUUUUUACUUAGGCUUCCUGGGAAUUAUAUUUUGGGAAGCCCUGAGGCCCAGAAAGCUCAAAGGAGUCAAUGGACUGAGUUAUGUGCCCCUUGCCCCCAGAUUCGUAGGUUGAAGUCCUAAGUGCCAACAAGACCAUGUCUGCAGCUGGAGCCUUUAGGAUGUGACCAAAGUUGAACAAAGUCAUAGAGCGGAGUCCUGAUCCUGUAGAAUUAGUGUCCUUUGUAAGAGACACCAGAAAGCUUGCUCUCCCCCAACAUGAUGGGACAAGCAAGAUGGCAGCCUUCUGAAAGCCAGGAAGUCAGCUGUCACCUGACGCCUGGUCAGUCAGCACCUGAUCCCAGACUCCCCAGACUCCACAGUUGUGAGGAAAUGUCUGGUGGGCUCAAACUGGAUAGAAAAGAGACGCUGCUCAAAGUCUGGUCACAGGUUCUACUUGUUAAUAGUUGAUGAUGGUCAACAAGCAGAGCGUAUGACACUUUCACCACGGGAAGGGUUCAGGGCUUGGACCUAGAAAACGUACUCUCGAACUGCGAUUCUACUAUGACCAGCUGUGUGCCCUCGGCUAAGCACUUACCACUUUCCACACUUCGACUGUCUGCUGAGAGAGACAGUAAGAGAGAGAGAGCAUGAGAAGGGAGAAGGUCGGAAGUAGAAGCAGACUCCCCAUGGAGCUGGGAGCCCGAUGCGGGACUCGAUCCUGGAAGUCCGGGAUCAUGACCCGAGCCGAAGGCAGUUGCUUAACCAACUGAGCCACCCAGGUGCCCACCCACCCUGUUUUCAAACACGACUCAGAGCAGCUGUUUUCAACUGUCACCUCUACAUGUUCCACCUUCCAGGCUCCUUGGACUCACUGGUCCCAGAAGACUUUAUGCUUCCCUGCAAACUAAUUUCUCCUGUGUUCCCUGUUUCUCUUCAUGCCUGGACAUUGGACACUCUGGUCACCUUGGUUCUCGGUAGGUCCGUCUCAGCUCAGCUGCAUGCUGGAAUGACAUGGGCGGGGGGUCUUACAUAAGCAUGCAUGAGCCUCACUUGGAAUCUUGAGGGUAAGAGCCAGCCUUCAGCAGUUUUAAAAGCUCCUUAGGUGGUUCAGUCUUGCAGCCAAGGUUGAGAACACUUCUCCAGGCCUUGGGGCAUCUCGGACUCUUCCAGAUGCAAGCUGGCAGUCACAGGGCUGGUCUAUGACUUACCCCUAAAAUAUCUCGGGGAUCUGUCACCUCCUUUCUGACCCUGUGUUCUCCCCUUGGCUUAAGCAUCAUUAAAGCACCUCUUGGCCUCUCGUUUUCUCCCUUUCUACUCUUGCCAGACAAAUUCUCCCUCAUGUCUGGUUCUGAUCAUAUUAACCCUCAUUUCAAAACCCUCCCAGCUGCCAUGUGCCUGGGUCCUGGUUAUGCACGCCUUUGGUCAGGUGCUAGCUCUCUCUGCCAGGUUUAUACCCACCACCCCUGUAAGAAACGUUAUGACAGCCCAGACAAACUUGCUUGCCCUUCCUCCUAUUUGCCCCCAUACUUCCUGCCACUGUGCCUUUGCACACACAGUCUCUGCUCCCUUUCUUCUAUACUGCACAUGUCUGCCUCCCAGGCAUUCAUGAAGGGCCGCCCCUCAUCUUUCCAGCCGGGAGUAAUGUCCUUCUCGGAAUUGUGUUCAAACUUCUAUGUUCUCUGUCAGAGAACCACUGUAGGGAAAACAGUUUACAGAUUAACGGAUUCUUUUUCUGCUUUUCCUUUAAUAGUCAAAACGAGUUACUUGCUUUACGGGGACAGUGGUGCUCAAAAUUGAGUAACACUAAGGAUCACCUGGGGAACUAAUUUAAAAUGCAUAUUCCUGGGCUAAUUUCCAGAGAGUCUCAGAAUGCGAGAACGAAUGCUCUAGCAGAAGCUCACCAACCUGCAAGGUUUUCCGGAUGGUGCUCCUGUGGCCGUGUUUGGAGAACUGCUGAGAUAGGAGGUUGGAUCCCUGACCUUACUGACAUGUUGAAAUUCUGUAAUACAAAUCCAAGGCAGCCUGUACAGUAGCAUAUUGUUAAUACUGUUAAUAUUUCACAUAACUUUAAGGAUGGGCAGACUGGGUAAGUGAGUGAAGUGGCCCCAGAGCUUGGGGGGCAGUCUCAGGAAGUGGGGGGAGCUACGAUGGACCUGGGAGGGUCCCAGCUCUCUGCCUCUGGGUCCUUAUUUCCACUUCAGAAUGGGAAACAAGUAAUGCCUGAUCUUUCCAUUUUCUCGGAAAGCUGGAAAUCCAGAUGUUCAUGUGGUGUUUCCAGAUUAUGUUUUUAAAAAUGCUGUAAGUUUUGAUACAGUACUUUGAGCCUUUGCAACCCUGACCUCAAUCAACAAUGUAAUCAUAACUGAAGAAUAAAUAGAAGCAAAUACUUUGCGUUGGUUUGUUUUGCUGCAAGGGUGACAUGUGAUAUUUUCUUAUCUGUCAAUUGACAAGUGCAGUCUGUAGAAAAGAGACAAGGACAUUUGAGGACUUCGUAAAUCAUGAACUGUUCUAGAGGCGCGUCUACCCUCUCACUUUACAGUCAAGAGCUGAGACCCAGAGAAGUUAAGCGAGUUGUACGACUUAUAGUAAACCGACUUAAUUUUACUUUUCUCAUCUGUAAAAUGUGAAAUGUUUGUAAAUGUAUCUACAUGGUCAUGGGCUGAAUGUUUGUGCCCUCCGCCCCCCGCAAAUUCACAUGUUGAAAUCCUUCCCUCCAAUGUGGGGGCACUGGGAGGUGGCGCCCUGGGAGGUGAUCAGGUCAUGAGCACAGAGCCUUCGUGAAGGGGAUCAGUGCCUUUACUGAGGGGACCCCAGAGAGCCCCAUCUUUCUGUUACACUUUCUGUGUUUCUACACAACUGGAAGACUGCGGACACAACCUGGGAGGAGACCCUCACAAGAACUCCCCAAUGCUGGUGCCAGAUCUCAGACUUCACCUUCCAGAACCGUCUAAGCGGCUGGGGGUAGGGCAUCUUUUCAUGGCAGCAUGAACCGAUGACACACAGUGACUGGGUUCUUGCCGCAUGGGAGACUCUGGACACCACUGAAUGUUAGCUCCUAUUGUUCCUGAGUACAAGAUCAGCCUCAUACAAGCCUCGCUUCAGACUCUCCCCAUUGGUUAUCUCUGCCUCAGCCUUCAUGUAAUGAGAUGAUUUUUAUGAAGACAUGGUUUUUUUUUUAAAUUAGCGUGUAUCAACUAGUUUGUAGAGUAAUUUGGUCAAGUACUUGAGCCUUGCUGAGGUAGUUUCCUUAUUGCCUAAAAUAAGGCAAUAAGGGCGCCCAGGUGGCUCAGUCAAUUAAGUGCCUGCCUUCGGCUCAGGUCAUGAUCUUGGUCCUGGGAUCGAGCCCCGUGUUGGGCUCCCUGCUCUGUGGGGUCUGCUUCUCCCUCUGCC